AUGUAUGUUCAGACACUGUGGACGUCCAAAAGCAGAAGUCCUGUGAGGAACCGGGACAUCCAGGAUGAUGAGGAGCUUCCCAGUCUCUACCUGAGGACGGCACAGAGAAAGACUGGAACAGAAAACACACGGAGGAAAGCAGGUUGAACAUGGAAGCAGUGUUCUAGCAGUCGGAUCACAUUGGAAAAGAAUCCAUCCACAUGUGUUUGGAGGAGCUGAAGAAGAGGAUGGAGCACACAGACCGCUAAGGAGAAGAAACAUGGCUCCUCUAUUUGUCUCUCCAACGUUCUGGAGUCUGAAAAACGUUGACGACCCCGCAGCUAAACCAUCAGUCUGCUCCACCCAGUAGAAGAAGAUGAGGUCAUCUGCUCCUUGGACCGGCGCCUCUGUGUCUGUCGGACGUCUGCUGUCCUGUUAAAGAACCGCUCAGUCGCAGUAGAUGGGCGCCGACAUGGAACCGGGGUCUGCUGGAGGUUCCUUCCUGCUUAAAGCUGGUUUUCCUCUCCACUGUCUCCUCAUUGCUCAGGAGGAGGCACUGCAGCAAAAUUAACGACUGUCUGUGAUUGGCUGAGCUUCCUUGGGUUGAAGACAUUUCUCUGAAUGCCACGAUAAACUGAAUUUAUCUUCACCAUGUUGUAAAUAGGAUCUAAUUGGAUAUUUGUGUUUAGAUUUGGUUCUGUGUUUGUGUUGACUUCUGUUACAUGUUUCUGUAUUAAAAUUGUCAUGUUAAUUGCCUUUAGAUGACAUUUUCUGUGACUUGUUUCUAUUUUAAGACUGAUUUAUAUUAAAUCCCCUUACUGCACAGGUGUCAAAGUCGUUCCA